rnacentral:rRNA from 1 species
AGAGUUUGAUCAUGGCUCAGGACGAACGCUGGCGGCGUGCUUAACACAUGCAAGUCGAACGGAAAGGCCCUUUCGGGGGUACUCGAGUGGCGAACGGGUGAGUAACACGUGGGUGAUCUGCCCUGCACUUCGGGAUAAGCUUGGGAAACUGGGUCUAAUACCGGAUAGGACCAUGCCAUGCAUGUGGUGUGGUGGAAAGCUUUUGCGGUGUGGGAUGGGCCCGCGGCCUAUCAGCUUGUUGGUGGGGUGAUGGCCUACCAAGGCGACGACGGGUAGCCGGCCUGAGAGGGUGUCCGGCCACACUGGGACUGAGAUACGGCCCAGACUCCUACGGGAGGCAGCAGUGGGGAAUAUUGCACAAUGGGCGCAAGCCUGAUGCAGCGACGCCGCGUGGGGGAUGACGGCCUUCGGGUUGUAAACCUCUUUCACCAUCGGCGAAGCCCAUGAUUUUUGUUGUGGGUGACGGUAGGUGGAGAAGAAGCACCGGCCAACUACGUGCCAGCAGCCGCGGUAAUACGUAGGGUGCGAGCGUUGUCCGGAAUUACUGGGCGUAAAGAGCUCGUAGGUGGUUUGUCGCGUUGUCCGUGAAAUUCCCUGGCUUAACUGGGGGCGUGCGGGCGAUACGGGCAGACUGGAGUACUGCAGGGGAGACUGGAAUUCCUGGUGUAGCGGUGGAAUGCGCAGAUAUCAGGAGGAACACCGGUGGCGAAGGCGGGUCUCUGGGCAGUAACUGACGCUGAGGAGCGAAAGCGUGGGGAGCGAACAGGAUUAGAUACCCCGGUAGUCC